CUCAUUGGCUACAUUACGUAACACAAAACUGGUUUGUUUGUAUCAGUGAUGUCAGUAUUGACAGUAUAUGUGGGCAUGGUGGAUAAUGCGAAAUGCGGAGUAUGGAGUGGGGAGUCUCUCCAAACGCAAAGAUAGAUACUUUUUUAACACGGACUCAGCAUUUUCCACUUUAUGCCUCCAAGCGGCUUUUAAGCCUUUUAUGUUUGUUUUAGAAAAUGAUCAAGUGUUAAAGUAUAUAUUGGCAAUAAAUAUCAACACAUCAAUCACAUACAAGACUCCACAGACAAUUGUAACAGGUGAAUUAAAAGCUGAAUACUUACUUUAAAACUUUUUUUGUGAAAAAUUCCACCUUCGAUGUAGGACGACGUGGGAUUAAGCAAAGACGCCGCGUAGUAGAAGCACGACACUCAACGACGCACGGACAUGCGCAUUGGUUUAAAAUUCAUUUCCGCUCGCGUUGUAGAUGAGCGCGUCGUCAAAUCUUAAGGUCACUAUUAUAUUUGGACGCGGACCAAGAUCUAAGCGUACUGUACUAAAGAAAAGAAAUCAAGAAUGCAAGAAGAAAAUGAUUUUGCAUAUAGAUGUACAUAUACAUAUGCUGUGUUUAUGCAACAAAAUGUCACGCUGGUAGUGUAUUAUUACAAUUAAAAACAAUUAUUCAGAGAUAAGUA